rnacentral:rRNA from 1 species
CAAGGUUUCCGUAGGUGAACCUGCGGAAGGAUCAUUAACGAACAAACAUACACACUUUUUUUUAGCACACACAAACGAAUUAGUAAAGUCAACACUUUGAAAAUCAAAACUUUCAACAACGGAUCUCUUGGUUCUCGCAUCGAUGAAGAACGCAGCGAAAUGCGAUACGUAGUAUGACUUGCAGUUUUCGUGAAUCAUCGAAUCUUUGAACGCACAUUGCGCCUCGUGGCAUUCCACGAGGCAUGCCGGCCUGAGCGUCGUUUCCCUCUCACAACUGCUUGUGGUGUUGGGCAGCACGGCGUGCGCUCGAAAGACAUGGAGCCAACGUUCUAAACGUCGUUGGGCUUUCAUCAAUUUCGACCUCAGGGUGGUAGGAUUACCCGCUGAACUUAAGCAUAUCAA